UACAGAGGUCCCAAGCGUUGUUCGGAUUCACUGGGCGUAAAGGGUGCGCAGGUGGGCUGGCAAGUUCGAUGUGAAAGCCCCGGGCUUAACCCGGGAAUGGCAUUGAAAACUGUCGGUCUGGAGGGUUGGAGGGGGGACUGGAAUUCUUGGUGUAGCGGUGAAAUGCGCAGAUAUCAGGAAGAACACCAAUGGCGAAAGCAGCUUUCUGGGACGGUACUGACGCUGAGAACGCGAAAGCGUGGGGAGCGAACAGG
rnacentral:rRNA from 1 species